GUUUGAUCCUGGCUCAGCCUGAACGCUGGCGGCAGGCUUAACACAUGCAAGUCGAGCGGGCGUAGCAAUACGUCAGCGGCAGACGGGUGAGUAACGCGUGGGAACGUACCUUUUGGUUCGGAACAACACAGGGAAACUUGUGCUAAUACCGGAUACGGCCGAGAGGCGAAAGAUUUAUCGCCGGAGGAUUGGCCCGCGUUCGAUUAGCUUGUUGGUGAGGUAACGGCUCACCAAGGCGAUGAUCGAUAGCUGGUCUGAGAGGAUGAUCAGUCACAUUGGGACUGAGACACGGCCCAAACUCCUACGGGAGGCAGCAGUGGGGAAUAUUGGACAAUGGGCGCAAGCCUGAUCCAGCCAUGCCGCGUGAGUGAUGAAGGCCUUCGGGUUGUAAAACUCUUUUGGCGGGGACGAUAAUGACGGUACCCGCAGAAUAAGCUCCGGCUAACUUCGUGCCAGCAGCCGCGGUAAU
rnacentral:rRNA from 1 species